GUGCUCGCUUCGGCAGCACAUAUACUAAAAUUGGAAUGAUACAGAGAAGAUUAGCAUCCCCCCUGUGCAAGGAUGACAUGCAAAUUCAUGAAGCAUUCCAUAUUUUU
ensembl:snRNA U6 U6 spliceosomal RNA